rnacentral:tRNA from 1 species
GCGGGCGUGGCGGAAUUGGUAGACGCGCCAGAUUUAGGUUCUGGUGGGAUCCCCGUGAAGGUUCGAGUCCUUUCGCCCGCACCA